rnacentral:rRNA from 1 species
UACGAAGGGUGCAAGCGUUACUCGGAAUUACUGGGCGUAAAGCGUGCGUAGGUGGUUCGUUAAGUCUGAUGUGAAAGCCCUGGGCUCAACCUGGGAAUGGCAUUGGAUACUGGCGGGGCUAGAGUGCGGUAGAGGGCAGUGGAAUUCCCGGUGUAGCAGUGAAAUGCGUAGAGAUCGGGAGGAACAUCUGUGGCGAAGGCGACUGCCUGGACCAGCACUGACACUGAGGCACGAAAGCGUGGGGAGCAAACAGG